GUGUCCAUUCGAGGUUGGGACGUCGAACAGGUCGGGCUUUUGCUCUAACCGAGGUGACGACGCUGUCGUUUGAUCAUCCACCCUUUUCUCGUUCUCCUUUCCUUGUUGAUGUUUUUCAUUCCCCCGCUCGUUCCAUUGUAGGUGGUUGAAAACGAAAAGCACGCCGAAGCUUGGCGCAAACACUGAGAAAUCCAAAGUAAAAUUUCUGCCUAUACUGUAGUAUCGUGGACGAGGGGCCUGGGGGGUAUCGUGUGAAUUACAAACAAGCGGUUGCUGAGCACGUUCGUGGUGGGGCUAAGACAAAAGAUACGAGGCUAAGACAAAAGACAAGGGGUUGCUAAGGGACGAUAAACGAAUUAACAGCAGUAUGAGUUGAGAAGCCAGAGAGUGGGAAUUGCGUUGUCGAGAUAGCGUUGCUAGCGUUGUUGAGAGAGAGUUGAAUCCGUGGUGACGAGAGUUGCUAAUUAAUUAUCUAGUUGUCUUAAUUAUAAUACGUUGUAGUGAUUAGUUCAUGUUAAGUAACCAUCGUUUCCCGUUUAAUCCAUUUAUUAUAGACAAACUAAUCAUAGUAGUACAAGAUACUACAAUACGUUUUUGUACUUUGUCGACGUUCUGUUUUUAUCCUUUAUGACUCAUUUACUGUGAUAAUCGAGACUGUAAUAUUAGCGGUGUAUGGCGACGGUGGAACGCUGAGAUGGCUGGAUGGUAAAAGAAAAAAGAAUCGAACGCUGAAUAUAUUUCUCAUGGUAGAAAAAUUCAGAAGGUAAGAGACACCGUAUACGAGGAACCUUAAGUGCACCUUAUGCAAUCAGAAAAUAAUAGAUUCCCCUGAAAAAGAAAAAAGAAAUACGGUAAGGUAUGUUGCAACGAAUAAUGGUACAAUAAACGGAAGUUAUAACGAACAGUCGCUAGGAAUAAAGUCAAAAUGUUACAACGAACGAACAUGUGGUAAACAGGGAAAAGGUGUUGUUAAUCAUCGCUGAAUACAUGGUACAUUUAACUGAAUUGAUGCUGCAACAGAUAAUAUCCUUAGUGCCACUUAAUUAAUUCGGUUUAGCAUAUCUCACUAUACUUGACUGAAAAUCCCACGAGCAUGAGUAAAACCAGGUAUUUAAAACUGUCGAAGUAACUACUUCAAAAAAGACUGUACAUCUUUAUUUACGUAUAUCCGUGACCCGGUGACUGCUAUUACGCAGAAAUAUCCUAAAUAAGGAAAGGUGCAUAUUAUUGUACUCUUGAAUAUACGUUAUGUUUUGGGUUGCAAGGUCUAGGAACAAAGAAAAUAAUAAACAGAUUUCUAUUUGUGUUC